AUGUUGGAACACAAUCAAGCUAGACAUCAUGCUAGCGGUCAACCAUUUCUCCAACCUACAGACCGCUCACCUUCAUUGGUUGAAAUCAGUGAUGUUGCCCUCGUUCCAAAGAAGGAUGGUGCCGAAGAUAUUUCUGACUUUCGCCCUAUAAGCCUAAUUCAUUCCAUCGCAAAGCUCAUUGCAAAGUUGAUGUCCAAAAGGCUAACACCCGUCAUGAAUGACCUUAUCUCACAAGCUAAGAGUGCUUUCAUCAAGAAGAGAUGUAUUCAUGAUAAUUUCAUGUACGUGCGCAACCUUGCUAGAUGCUUGCAUCACAACAACAUCCCAGCUCUCCUGUUCAAGCUCGACAUCAAGAAAGCGUUUGAUUCGGUGCAUUGGGACUACCUCCUGGACUUGCUCAAUCACCUUGGCUUCCCUCCCCAGUUCCGUGGCUAG
rnacentral:rRNA from 1 species